rnacentral:rRNA from 1 species
AGAACGAACGCUGGCGGCAGGCUUAACACAUGCAAGUCGAACGCGUGUAGCAAUACACGAGUGGCGCACGGGUGAGUAACGCGUGGAUAUCUGCCUUUUGGUUCGGAAUAACCCCGGGAAACUGGGGCUAAUACCGGAUGGUUCCUUCGGGAUAAAGAUUUAUCGCCAAAAGAUGAGUCCGCGUACGAUUAGCUAGUUGGUGAGGUAAUGGCUCACCAAGGCGACGAUCGUUAGCUGGUCUGAGAGGACGAUCAGCCACACUGGGACUGAGACACGGCCCAGACUCCUACGGGAGGCAGCAGUGGGGAAUAUUGGACAAUGGGGGCAACCCUGAUCCAGCCAUGCCGCGUGAGUGAUGAAGGCCUUCGGGUUGUAAAGCUCUUUUGGCGGGGACGAUGAUGACGGUACCGCAGAAUAAGCCCCGGCUAACUUCGCGCCAGCAGCCGC